rnacentral:misc_RNA from 1 species
AUCAUUAGAAACUGGCAAAUGCUCUUUGUACUCCAUGGUGAACUCUCCUUUACCCUGAGUCAUCGAACGGAGAGAUGUCGAGUAUCCAAACAUAUUAUUUAGCGGAACAUGUGCAGUAAUUAUAGAGUCAUCUCCAUCCUGGUCAUUUCCAACAAUAACACCUUUUCGCUUGUUGAUAUCACCACCAACGGUGCCCUGAAAUUCUGUAGGUACUUUAACUUCUACCAGCAUAACAGGCUCCAAUAUCACCG